rnacentral:tRNA from 1 species
GGGGUUGUGGCUCAGUGGUAGAGCGCUUGCCUAGCACGCGGGAGGCACUGGGUUCGAUCCCCAGCACCACA